UACGGAGGGGACUAGCGUUGUUCGGAAUUACUGGGCGUAAAGCGCACGUAGGCGGAUUUGUAAGUCAGGGGUGAAAAUCCCCGGGGGCUCAACCUCGGAACUGCCUUUGAUACUGCAAAAUCUCGAGUCCGGAAGAGGUGAGUGGAAUUCCUAGUGUAGAGGUGGAAAUUUCGUAGAUAUUAGGAAGAACACCAGUGGCGAAGGCGGCUCACUGGUCCGGUACUGACGCUGAGGUGCGAAAAGCGUGGGGAGCAAACAGGAU
rnacentral:rRNA from 1 species